rnacentral:rRNA from 1 species
UACGGGAGGCAGCAGUGAGGAAUAUUGGUCAAUGGGCGGAAGCCUGAACCAGCCAUCCCGCGUGAAGGAAGAAGGCCCUACGGGUUGUAAACUUCUUUUCUGUUUGAAGAAUAAGCCCGUCGAGACGGGUGAUGCCGGUAGGACAGGAAUAAGCAUCGGCUAACUCCGUGCCAGCAGCCGCGGUAAUACGGAGGAUGCAAGCGUUAUCCGGAUUUAUUGGGUUUAAAGGGUGCGCAGGUUGUUAAAUAAGUCAGUGGUGAAAGUCUGUCGCUUAACGGUAGGAUUGCCAUUGAUACUGUUUAACUUGAAUAUGGAUGAGGUAGGCGGAAUGUGUAGUGUAGCGGUGAAAUGCAUAGAUAUUACACAGAACACCGAUUGCGAAGGCAGCUUACUAAUCCAUUAUUGACGCUGAGGCACGAAAGCGUGGGGAUCAAACAGGAUUAGAUACCCUGGUAGUCCACGCCGUAAACGAUGAUCACUCGCUGUUUGCGAUAUACAGUAAGCGGCUAAGCGAAAGCGUUAAGUGAUCCACCUGGGGAGUACGAUCGCAAGGUUGAAACUCAAAGGAAUUGACGGGGGCCCGCACAAGCGGAGGAACAUGUGGUUUAAUUCGAUGAUACGCGAGGAACCUUACCUGGGCUUAAAUGGGGAGUGACAGCUGCUGAAAGGUGGUUUUCUUCGGACACUCUCCAAGGUGCUGCAUGGUUGUCGUCAGCUCGUGCCGUGAGGUGUCGGGUUAAGUCCCAUAACGAGCGCAACCCUUACUGUUAGUUGCCAGCGCGUCAAGGCGGGGACUCUAGCGGGACUGCCACCGUAAGGUGAGAGGAAGGUGGGGAUGACGUCAAAUCAGCACGGCCCUUAUGUCCAGGGCUACACACGUGUUACAAUGGCCGGUACAAAGGGCAGCUACACUGCGAAGUGAUGCUAAUCUCUAAAGCCGGUCCCAGUUCGGAUCGAAGUCUGCAACCCGACUUCGUGAAGUUGGAUUCGCUAGUAAUCGCGCAUCAGCCAUGGCGCGGUGAAUACGUUCCCGGGCCUUGUACACACCGCCCGUCAAGCCAUGGGAGCUGGGGGUACCUGAAGUCUGCAACCGCAAGGAGCGGCCUAAGGUAAAACUGGUGACUGGGGCUAAGUCGUAACAAGGUAACC